CCCCUCUUAGGAUAGCAUCUGGAGAGUUUCCAGUACUCUACCAGUGACAGCUACAGGAGGGAGAAUCAAGCAAAGCAUACCCAUUCCAAUCCUAGUUAGGGCAGUGGCUAGCCAUUGGAAAGCAAUCUGCUACAAGU